GGGGGCCGAAUACUUUCGCAAGGCACUGUACAUGCAGUAUUAAUAUAGCAGUAAAUGCAGAUUUACUGGCACAUUCUUCACAAUAAUAUGUUCUACUGGUAGUGAACUAGCAAUAUUUAGAAGCUGUGUUUAUUGGCUUGAAAAGAUGGUCUUGCAAGUUAUUAAUAUAACCAGCGCUCCAGAUAAGGUUUUGGGUCAAUGUGUGUAAAAUGUAACAUUACCUUGAAGUCAUGAGUACUUCCAAUAAUUACAGUACAUACUGUAAUGCUAAUUUUAUGGAGUAUGCAUUAACUACAGCCUUACAUUAACUGUAAUGUUACUUUGAACAACUUUACAGAAACUUAGAAUAAAGACUUUAAAGUAUUUAAUAUAUAGAUUUACCUUCCACGAAUUCAGUUGACAGAUGUAAAAUUGGCAGGUUAACUUGAGGGGGAGAAAGCCGGCGCACUGAGAAAUCCUGACGAUCUUUCACCAGUCACAAAAACGCACUGCAAAUUACGGUUGGCAAUCUCUAGUGCUCUGUAGAGGUGGCAAGGACAAAGCUGUAUGUUGUGGCCAUGGAUGACUACUUGACUGGCUAAGACUACCUUGUGGGAGUGGUGAGGACAUAUGAUUCUGAGGAACACUUUCAGAAUGUUGCACCAUCCUUGUCACUUCAAACAAUCACUUAGGAUUACCUAAAACAAUACUGUUAUUGACAGAUGCAGUGUAUAGAGACUGCUUUUAUAAAUCAUGGCAUCAGUUUACUGUACUUUAUUAAACUGGUUGUAAACCUGCUACUGUGCUGAGGUGGUUUCAUUGUAUACCCUAUCCCUUUAAGGAAUGGUACCUGUUAGAACUUUCUCUAGAAAUGUUUGAAAGCAGCAGAAGAUAAUGUUUAUUGGCUUGACAUAUCUAUUGUAUCUGUUUUGCCAUAAGCGCAUCAGUGUGACAAAAAAAAAACAACCUUCAAAACCAAUUGAUCACACUAUAGCUUUAUUAUGAAUUAAAUACAAAUACAUGAAACAUAUGCAAAACAAAAAAGGAUAAAUUCGUUAAGGUUUAAUAUCUGCAUCAAUAAACAGGAGAAUCUGGUACAAUCAUUGGUUAAGUUUUGAAACAAGUCUUUAAAAUAAAAAUACUGAUUUAUUUUUCAAGCGAGAGAUACCGCAAGAACAGCAAGGCCUCAAUUCAUUUUAAUUUAACACACACA